rnacentral:rRNA from 1 species
GAUGAACGCUGGCGGCGUGCCUAACACAUGCAAGUCGAACGGAGUCGUUUUGGAAAUCUCUUCGGAGAUGGAAUUCUCGACUUAGUGGCGGACGGGUGAGUAACGCGUGAGCAAUCUGCCUUUAAGAGGGGGAUAACAGUCGGAAACGGCUGCUAAUACCGCAUAAAGCAUUAAAUUCGCAUGUUUUUGAUGCCAAAGGAGCAAUCCGCUUUUAGAUGAGCUCGCGUCUGAUUAGCUAGUUGGCGGGGUAACGGCCCACCAAGGCGACGAUCAGUAGCCGGACUGAGAGGUUGAACGGACACAUUGGAACUGAGACACGGCCCAGACUCCUACGGGAGGCAGCAGUGGGGAAUAUUGCGCAAUGGGGGAAACCCUGACGCAGCAACGCCGCGUGAUUGAAGAAGGCCUUCGGGUUGUAAAGAUCUUUAAUCAGGGACGAAACAAAUGACGGUACCUGAAGAAUAAGCUCCGGCUAACUACGUG